AAACCAGCACCUCAAGUGGUCAGGAUGAUUAUUGGGCCUAAAGCAUCCGUAGCCUGCUCUGUAAGUUUUCGGUUAAAUCUGUACGCUCAACGUACAGGCUGCCGGGAAUACUGCAGAGCUAGGGAGUGGGAGAGGUAGACGGUACUCGGGAGGAAGUGGUAAAAUGCUUUGAUCUCUCGAUGACCACCUGUGGCGAAGGCGGUCUACCAGAACACGUCCGACGGUGAGGGAUGAAAGCUUGGGGAGCAAACCGGAUUAGAAACCCCGGUAGUCC
rnacentral:rRNA from 1 species